GACAGAGGCCUCAAGCGUUAGGCGGAAUCACUGGGCUUAAAGCGUGUGUAGGCGGAUCGUUAAGUGUCUUGUGAAAUCCCACGGCUCACCCGUGGAACUGCUGGGCAUACUGGCGAUCUUGGGCCAACUAGGGGCAACUGGAACAAGCGGUGGAGCGGUGAAAUGCGUAGAUAUCGCUUGGAACGCCAAAAGGUGAAAACAGGUUGCUGGGG
rnacentral:rRNA from 1 species